rnacentral:rRNA from 1 species
CGAUUGAAGUCAGUCGUGCUGGCGCGAAAUCAACCCGCCCGCUGAGCGAUCACCUGCCGUGGCGAGCCUCAAAACCGCCGCGACUCGUGACCACUUAACGGUCUGGUGCACUUUUGUGUCGGCUGGUUAACGUCAAUUUCUCACGUCAUAAAAAGGCUGGAGGGAUGUGGCUCCUUCGGGAGUGUUAUAACCUUUGGCGGAAUGUGGUGUUUGGGAUUGAGGAUUGCAACGAAUACCUUUAGGGCUGUUCCACCUGGCCUCUCGUUGGCAUCCUGGCGGCGACAGCAUGCU